rnacentral:rRNA from 2 species
UAAGUCUGAUGUGAAAGCCUUCGGCUUAACCGAAGAAGUGCAUCGGAAACUGGAUAACUUGAGUGCAGAAGAGGGCAGUGGAACUCCAUGUGUAGCGGUGAAAUGCGUAGAUAUAUGGAAGAACACCAGUGGCGAAGGCGGCUACCUGGUCUGCAACUGACGCUGAGACUCGAAAGCAUGGGUAGCGAACAGGAUUAGAUACCCUGGUAGUCCAUGCCGUAAACGAUGAGUGCUAGGUGUUGGAGGGUUUCCGCCCUUCAGUGCUGCAGCUAACGCAUUAAGCACUCCGCCUGGGGAGUACGACCGCAAGGUUGAAACUCAAAGGAAUUGACGGGGGCCCGCACAAGCGGUGGAGCAUGUGGUUUAAUUCGAAGCUACGCGAAGAACCUUACCAGGUCUUGACAUCUUGCGCCAAUCUUAGAGAUAGGACGUUUCCUUCGGGAACACAAAGACAGGUGGUGCAUGGUCGUCGUCAGCUCGUGUCGUGAGAUGUUGGGUUAAGUCCCGCAACGAGCGCAACCCUUGUUAUCAGUUGCCAGCAUUAAGUUGGGCACUCUAGUGAGACUGCCGGUGACAAACCGGAGGAAGGUGGGGACGACGUCAGAUCAUCAUGCCCCUUAUGACCUGGGCUACACACGUGCUACAAUGGACGGUACAACGAGUCGCGAACUCGCGAGAGCAAGCAAAUCUCUUAAAGCCGUUCUCAGUUCGGACUGCAGGCUGCAACUCGCCUACAUGAAGUCGGAAUCGCUAGUAAUCGCGGAUCAGCAUGCCGCGGUGAAUACGUUCCCGGGCCUUGUACACACCGCCCGUCACACCAUGAGAGUUUGUAACACCCAAAGUCGGUGGGGUAACCUUUAGGAGCCAGC